CCUACGGGCGGCAGCAGUGGGGAAUAUUGGACAAUGGGGGGAACCCUGAUCCAGCGACGCCGCGUGAGUGAAGAAGUAUUUCGGUAUGUAAAGCUCUAUCAGCAGGGAAGAAAAUGACGGUACCUGACUAAGAAGCCCCGGCUAACUACGUGCCAGCAGCCGCGGUAAUACGUAGGGGGCAAGCGUUAUCCGGAUUUACUGGGUGUUAAGGGAGCGUAGACGGUGCAGCAAGUCUGAUGUGAAAGGUCGGGGACCAACCCCGGGACUGCAUUGGAAACUGUUGAACUGGAGUACAGGAGAGGUAAGCGGAAUUCCUGGUGUAGCGGUGAAAGGCGUAGAGAUUAGGAGGAACACCAGUGGCGAAGGCGGCUUACUGGACUGUAACUGACGUUGAGGCUCGAAAGCGUGGGGAGCAAACAGGAUUAGAUACCCGGGUAGUC
rnacentral:rRNA from 1 species